GGGCCGCGUGCGGGAUGGCUGCCCGCGCCCCGCUGCACCGCACAAGUCUUCCUAAACAAAGCUGGUGGAAUUACACGCUUCUGUGGAGAGCCUCAUGUAACGGAAAAGUCUCAGAUUACUAUCGCUUGAAAAGGAGGGCACUUCUCUUCAUUUAUUUUCAAUACCGUUCGCUUGAAAAAGCAACACGCGCACAGAAGCACUCAUUCAGUAUUUAGCAGCAGGCGAGGAGAGGACUCAGAAAAACGUGCUCCCCAGCAUGCUGGGUACAAACGAAACCUUUGUGAAGGGGUUCUGUAAGCAGCCAGUUCCUUUCGCUCAAUUUCACGUCGCUGCCAACGUGGAAGAUGUUGACACGUCCCGUGCACGUGAGCACAGGUGCUCGCUCUGCCUGCUGGAGUGCAGCUCCUGGAGUUGGCUUUAGGAUGGGUCAGCUUUCCCUCGGGGCCGUGAGCUCCUCCCCUCACUCACACACAAGAGUGAAAUGAAAAGGUUGGCAUGUGGGCUGAACAACAGGUCCCCAAGCAACAGAUGUGAUAGACUUCAUUAAUGAUGAUAUCAGCUCCUUGAGAUGGCCCCAAUCACCGCGUGCUGCCGACUCAUCUGCCAGAGCGUUAUUUACGCUCUGCUGGGCCUCCUGUGGACAUUUUGAAGGCUCCACUUAACAGUUAAAGAAAAAAAAGACAUACUAAAAGAAAGAGCUGGACACCACCAGGCAGUCAACUCUGGAAAGAUUAACCUCUGGAAAGAAACCUCUGCUGUUGUCGGAAGAUAGCCAGUCUCAAAUGGCUGCCUUGGGACUCAGGGUGUUGGAUGAUGCUGGUGACAUAAAAAGAACCACCGUCCUUUUAAGUCAGACUGGAGUUGG